AGAAUGCAGGUUUUUCCCCAAAAAUCCAAUUUUCUCACUUUCACUCCCCAAAUUGGUUUACAGAUGUGAAAUAACUUGUUGUAUGCACUCAGAACCUAUUUCUAACAUCAGAACAACAAUUCCUACACUCAAAACCCAAUAAUUCACCAUAAACCUAAAAUUCCCAAUUAUAACAUAAACCUGUUAAAAUCAAAAUCAGAAUUAA
rnacentral:lncRNA from 1 species